rnacentral:rRNA from 1 species
ACGGAGGGUGCAAGCGUUAUCCGGAUUUAUUGGGUUUAAAGGGUGCGUAGGCGGGAAGCUAAGUCAGUGGUGAAAUCUCUCGGCUCAACCGAGAAACUGCCAUUGAUACUGGUUUUCUUGAAUUUGAUUGAAGUGGGCGGAAUAUGACAUGUAGCGGUGAAAUGCUUAGAUAUGUCCUAGAACACCGAUAGCGAAGGCAGCUCACUAAGUCAACAUUGACGCUGAGGCACGAAAGCGUGGGGAGCGAACAGG